GUGGUUAGCAACAAUUCAAUCCAGUCAUGGAUUUGCCAACGAUUUACGAGUGCCGAGAUUGAGAGGUAAGAAGAUCUGAAACUCAUUGGUGGAAAAGAUUGUUUGGGUGUUGAUGUAGUCGGCAUUUGGGAUCUCAAGGAUUCUAAGAACGUUCUUCCACUACAAGAUUAUGUUAUUUGAGUUGAUAAGAUGACAAAGAACUUGAACACUACGACUUUCAUGGGUGGUGAUUUCCAGAUUUAGGAUGACAGUUCACUUUUUGGCUUUUGCCAAUUGUCUCUCGAAGGACGGUUCUGUAAGAUAGUAAAUGAAGGUUUUUGGAUUUCUAUUGAACUUGAGGGAAGCAAGGUUUAGGCCGUUCUUGAAUAUCACAGGACUGUGCCCUAUGUAUAAAGAUCAGUAAACAAAAGAAUCG
rnacentral:lncRNA from 1 species